rnacentral:sRNA from 1 species
ACGGCACUUAUGUAUGUUUUUGUUUAACGUGGACAAAGACUUGUGGAUAGGUGCAAAAAAUAAAUCCUCUUUUGCAACCCAGAACUCAUUGUUCAGUAUGAGUUUUGAUACAUAUAAGAAGGGAUAUUAUGAUACCUGAGACAGUUGAUCGAUGGGAGUACUGAUAGCCAUAAAGGCUGGUUCCAGGCCAGGUGCAAUGGGUCAAGCCUGCAAUCUCCACACCGAGGUGGGAGUAUUGCUUGAAACGAGGAGUUCAAGACCAGCCUGGGCAAGAAAGUAAGAAACACCUCAUCUCCACAAAAAUUUAAAAAUUAGCUGGGUACUGGGGCAUGUGCCUGUAGUUGGAGUUACUCAGAAAGGGGAGGCUGAGGCAAAAGGAUUGAGCCCAAGAGUGGGAGGCUGCACUGAGCUUUGAUGGCACCACUGUACUCCAGCCUGAGUAACAGACAGACCCUGUCUCUUAAGAUAAAAAGGUUGAUUCUAGGCCUGUAGAAUAGAUAAACAGCAUGGGAUAUGAGGGAAAUCCUCAGCAGUAUUAAUUUUGCAUUCCAAUUUCAUGUUGACGAUAUAUACAAUGGCUUUUUGUUUUAAAGGCUUUUAUCUUGAGAACAUGGUGUCUGGAGUUAAAGAUAAUCUACUUUUUUACCUUAGGUAUUGACAUACUCCACACAUCUGUACUAUUCUUGAGUGAUCGCUUAGGAAUGAAUGUGAUUUGAACUCAUUCAUGUUGAGAGGGUGUCAAAUUGAGAACCAGGCAGAUCCCCACCACCUACAGUAAAAAGGACCCUAAAGUAAAUUGGUUGAAGAAAUUAGAUCCCAAAGAUUCUUGGUGAAUUUUGAAGUCUUCAUCAGUAUACCCAUAUUAAAACGAGACCACAGAAGCCAAAGUAAUUAUGGGCUGACAGGACAACUGGAUCAGUUUCAUUAAAAAGGGCAAACUUGAAGAUAUAUCUUUUGACUCCAGCUCUUUAGAGGAUCUAAAGUGACCCUGAUGGACAGUGGAAGAAAUCACAACAUGGAAUUCCU